CACGUAGGGUGCAAGCGUUGUCCGGAAUUAUUGGGCGUAAAGAGCUCGUAGGCGGUUUGUUGCGUCGGCCGUGAAAACCUGCAGCUUAACUGUGGGCCUGCGGCCGAUACGGGCAGACUUGAGUUCAGUAGGGGAGACUGGAAUCCCUGGUGUAGCGGUGAAAUGCGCAGAUAUCAGGAGGAACACCGGUGGCGAAGGCGGGUCUCUGGGCCGAUACUGACGCUGAGGAGCGAAAGCGUGGGGAGCGAACAGG
rnacentral:rRNA from 1 species